UGAACGCUAGCUACAGGCUUAACACAUGCAAGUCGAGGGGCAGCAUGAACAUAGCUUGCUAUGUUUGAUGGCGACCGGCGCACGGGUGCGUAACACGUAUCCAAUCUGCCCGUCACUCGGGGAUAGCCUUCUGAAAGGAAGAUUAAUACCCGAUGGGAUGCAUUUCCGGCAUCGGAGAUGCAUUAAAGAUUUUUAUCGGUGACGGAUGAGGAUGCGUACGAUUAGCUAGUUGGCGGGGUAACGGCCCACCAAGGCAACGAUCGUUAGGGGUUCUGAGAGGAAGGUCCCCCACACUGGAACUGAGACACGGUCCAGACUCCUACGGGAGGCAGCAGUGAGGAAUAUUGGUCAAUGGGCGGGAGCCUGAACCAGCCAAGUAGCGUGAAGGAUGACUGCCCUACGGGUUGUAAACUUCUUUUGUUUGGGAAUAAAAGACGCUACGUGUAGCGUUGUGCAUGUACCUUACGAAUAAGCAUCGGCUAAUUCCGUG
rnacentral:rRNA from 1 species